GAUGAACGCUAGCGGCAGGCCUAACACAUGCAAGUCGAGGGAGAAGCCCUUCGGGGCAGAAACCGGCGCACGGGUGCGUAACGCGUAUGCAACCUACCUUUCACAGGGGGAUAGCCCGAAGAAAUUUGGAUUAAUACCCCAUAAUAUUAUUGGAUGGCAUCAUUUGAUAAUUAAAAUUACGAUGGUGAAAGAUGGGCAUGCGUCCUAUUAGCUAGUUGGAGUGGUAACGGCACCCCAAGGCUACGAUAGGUAGGGGUCCUGAGAGGGAGAUCCCCCACACUGGUACUGAGACAGGGACCAGACUCUUACGGGAGGCAGCAGUGAGGAAUAUUGGUCAAUGGUCGGAAGACUGAACCAGCCAUGCCGCGUGCAGGAAGAAUGCCUUAUGGGUUGUAAACUGCUUUUAUAUGGGAAGAAUAAGGAGUA
rnacentral:rRNA from 1 species